GAGACAGCAGUCGCCGCGGUAAUACAGAGGGUGCGAGCGUUAAUCGGAUUUACUGGGCGUAAAGCGUGCGUAGGCGGCUUCUUAAGUCGGAUGUGAAAUCCCUGAGCUUAACUUAGGAAUUGCAUUCGAUACUGGGAAGCUAGAGUAUGGGAGAGGAUGGUAGAAUUCCAGGUGUAGCGGUGAAAUGCGUAGAGAUCUGGAGGAAUACCGAUGGCGAAGGCAGCCAUCUGGCCUAAUACUGACGCUGAGGUACGAAAGCAUGGGGAGCAAACAGGAUUAGAUACCCGCGUAGUCCCUGUCUCUUAUAC
rnacentral:rRNA from 1 species